GUGCUCGCUUCGGCAACACAUAUACUAAAAUUGGGCGAUACAGAGAAGAUUAGCAUGGCCCCUGUGCAAGGAUGACACGCAAAUUCAUGAAGCAUUCCAUAUUUAA
ensembl:snRNA U6 U6 spliceosomal RNA